AUACGUAGGGUGCGAGCGUUGUCCGGAAUUACUGGGCGUAAAGAGCUCGUAGGUGGUUUGUCGCGUCGUCUGUGAAAUUCCGGGGCUUAACUCCGGGCGUGCAGGCGAUACGGGCAUAACUUGAGUACUGUAGGGGAGACUGGAAUUCCUGGUGUAGCGGUGAAAUGCGCAGAUAUCAGGAGGAACACCGGUGGCGAAGGGGGGUCUAUGGGCAGUAACUGAGGCUGAGGAGCGAAAUCAGGGGGAGCGAACAGGAUGUGAUACCCUGUUAGUCCAUGCCGUGAACGGUGGGCGCUAGGUGUAGGGGUUUUCCCCGCCUUCUGUGCCUUAGCUACCGCAUUAAGCGCCCCGCCUGGGGAGUACGGCCGCAAGGCUAAAACUCAAAUGAAUUGACGUGG
rnacentral:rRNA from 1 species